rnacentral:rRNA from 1 species
GAGUUUGAUCUUGGCUCAGAACGAACGCUGGCGGCAGGCCUAACACAUGCAAGUCGAGCGGCAGCGCGGGGCAACCUGGCGGCGAGCGGCGGACGGGUGAGUAACGCGUAGGAAUCUACCCAGUAGCGGGGGAUAGCCCGGGGAAACUCGGAUUAAUACCGCAUACGCCCUAAGGGGAAAGCAGGGGAUCUUCGGACCUUGCACUAUUGGCAGAGCCUGCGUUGGAUUAGCUAGUUGGUGGGUAAAGGCCUACCAAGGCAACGAUCCAUAACUGGUCUGAGAGGAUGAUCAGUCACACCGGAACUGAGACACGGUCCGGACUCCUACGGGAGGCAGCAGUGGGGAAUAUUGGACAAUGGGGGCAACCCUGAUCCAGCCAUGCCGCGUGUGUGAAGAAGGCCUCGGUUGUAAG